rnacentral:lncRNA from 1 species
GGAGGAAGAAGGGAGGAACAAGAGAGAGAGGUUUCCAGAAGUUCCCCAGUCAUUGAGCAUUUCUGAGGCUCUUGAUGCAUAUGCCAAGUAGUUAUGGAGAAAGACACAGCAGCUUACCUCUGCAGGCAUCAUUGUGUGAAAGGAAGACCCAGGCUCUCUCACCACCCUUCAACAGAAGCCUUUUGCUAAGGUGAUAGCUACAUGUCCAAGCCUAUUGCGUGGCAUGCAUUUUGCCUUCUGCAGCCCACUAAAGGAGUUUGCAGUUCACCCGCAAACCUCAGCGAUCCAAGCUCCCCUGGAUGACCAUCACUCACCAAGAAAAGAACAAUAACAGGACCUGUUUUGCUAAUCCAGGACUGUUCUCCAGCACUAACUCUAAAUAAUCCCUUCUGCUAGAGUCCACUUUCUGGAACCUGUUGCCUCCGUUUUCAACGUUUCCCAAACUUGGUCCGUUGUGUGAGCUGGCUGAUAAAAGUUCCAGGUAACCUUCCUUGUUCUCAAGGUCCAUUUUCCAGGAAAAUCUGAGUCAUGGUGCUGGGGAGGACACUUAAGUACAUCAGUCAAUCAGAUGAUUAUUAAAUUUAGGAAAUAGUAGAUCAACUGGAUUAACUGGAUUAAAAUGCAGAAUCCCAGGCCCCAGCCCAGACCUACUGAACCAGCAUCUGCUCUUUAACAAGAGCCCCAUGUGAUGUGUAGGACAGAAAACUUUGCGAAGCACAGGGUUAGACAGUCUCUAAAGCCUUCUGCAGAUCAGAAACGCAGCAAUUCUGAGGUUUUCUUCAAUUUUCUAAU